UAGAAACAAACAAACAGUGUGUGUGUGUGUACACUGGGGGAACAUACAUUUAAGCCUUAUAUUCUGUUGGUUAUGUGAUAUAUUGCCUUUUCAACUCAAAAGAAAAGCUGGAAAGAAAUACACCAAAAAUACUGAUACCUGGUUACCUCUGGGUUGAGGUAGUAUG